AUUGAACGCUGGCGGCAGGCUUAACACAUGCAAGUCGAGCGGUAACAGGGAGAAGCUUGCUUCUCUGCUGACGAGCGGCGGACGGGUGAGUAAUGCCUAGGAAUCUGCCUAGUAGUGGGGGAUAACUUGCCGAAAGGUAAGCUAAUACCGCAUACGUCCUACGGGAGAAAGGAGGGGACCUUCGGGCCUUUCGCUAUUAGAUGAGCCUAGGUCGGAUUAGUUAGUUGGUGAGGUAAUGGCUCACCAAGACCGCGGUCCGUAACUGGUCUGAGAGGAUGAUCAGUAACACUGGACCUGAGAAACGGUCCAGACUCCUACGGGAGGCAGCAGUGGGGAAUAUUGGGCAAUGGGGGGAACCCUGAUCCAGCCAUGCCGCGUGUGUGAAGAAGGUCUUAGGAUUGUAAAGCACUUUAAGUUGGGAGGAAGAGCAGUUAACUAAUAUUUGACUGUUUUGACGUUACCGACAGAAUAAGCACCGGCUAACUUCGUGCCAGCCGCCGCGGUAA
rnacentral:rRNA from 1 species